rnacentral:tRNA from 1 species
UUCGGGGUAGACGAAUAGGUAAAGUCAUGAUUCUUUGGAUAUCAAUUUUGGGUGUUCGAGUCACCCUCCCGAAG